ACUCAAAUGAAUUGACGGGGACCCGCACAAGCAGUGGAUUAUGUGGUUUAAUUCGAUGCUACGCGAAAAACCUUACCAACCCUUGAAUCCCAUUGACCGGUAGAGAAAUUUACCUUUGUAGCAAUACACAGUGGAGACAGGUGUUGCAUGGCUGUCGUCAGCUCGUGUCGUGAGAUGUUAGGUUAAGUCCUUCAACGAGCGCAACCCUCAUCCUUAUUUGCCAUCGGGUUAUGCCGGGAACUAUAAGGAAACUGCCUACGACAAGUAGGAGGAAGGUGGGGACGAUGUCAAGUCAUCAUGGCCCUUAUGGGUUGGGCUACACACAUAAUACAAUGGUGGUUACAGCAGGAAGCCAAGGAGCAAUCCCGAGCAAAUCCCUAAAAGCCAUCUCAGUUCAGAUUGAGGGCUGCAACUCGCCCUCAUGAAGUUGGAAUUGCUAGUAAUCGUAGAUCAGCAUGCUACGGUGAAUACGUUCUCGGGUCUUGUACACACCGCCCGU
rnacentral:rRNA from 1 species